AAAAAAAAAAAAAAAAAAAAAAUUGAAAAAAAAAAAUUCAACUGUUGGAUUGGCUCAAACAGGAUUGAAAUGGAACUGGGGGGACCCUGCAGUCUGGUCUCGGGCCCUUGGUUCCAAGGACUGGAACCAGUGGUUUCGACCCACUGUCAAGGAAGGAUUAACUGACUGGGAUUAUAACUGAGAAGCAUGACUCACAUAAUGCUCUCAUAUCCACCAAUAGGGCCCAAUAAGAUUAAAACUACUUUCACAAUAGCAGUGCCUGGUGAGUAUCAGAUUGUGCGGACCUAACUCAUUAGUUAAGAGCCUAAUAAUAUUAUCCCACCUCUCCAUGUCAACAUGAGAAUUCAGUGCUAGUUAGCAUAGACACCCUUUAGCCAUGAUUCCCACCCUUGGGAUAUAAUUGAUAACAGUUAUAAAGUAUACAGUCUAAAUUGAUUAAAUUAAAUGAAAUGGAUAGAAUUGAAUAUGGUCACAAAGUCUGUGAUUUGAUGGAUUGUUAGCCUAACAAAAUUGAAAACAGAAGCAUAAUGGGAAAGCAUCUUUGCUUUCUAGAACCAAGAGAUAAUCGUCAUAAAGGGAACCAUUUUAUGCAACACCCUACAAAGAACAUCAGAGAAAAGAAAAGGAAUUACACUAUUGAAAUGUCAAAGGAAUUUAAAUAACAUAAACAUUAAAGCUGUGUUCAUGACAUAAAUAAAUAAAUAAAUAAACAAAAAUCUCGUUAUGAAGGAUGGUAGGUGGAAAAUGCUUGGGUGGGAUAAGCUCCAAAUUAAAGAACAUCAACGAAGAAGGUAAGAAGUAACCUAUUUUUCAUUUUCUAUUAUGUCGGUGGCUUUCUGAGCUCAUAUAUUUUUUUACCACAGUUCUUCUUAUCCCACAACAGACCUUUUUUUUAGCUUUAUUUCCUUUUUUACCCUUUUGUAGCAGGAUUGGCCCCCCUUAUUUGGUGGGUUUCUUGGAAUAAUUUCUAGCAUAUCCAAUCCAAUUAGGACAAAGAAACCUCCCUUUCUAUUCAGACAAAAAAAUACACAUGUAUACAUGCAGAAUAUGGGGUAAUAAACAUGAUUGAGCAAGAAUGCUUUGUGGCUAAAAAUAUAUAUAUAAUCUUGCAAAUGAUACUUUGGCAUACUUUCUAGGUAACAACCUUAUUAUUUGUAAAUGUAGGUCCCCAGACCUUUUUCUUUUCGUAGGGGAUUGGAGAGGUGAAACUCGAAAUUUGCUUUGUCAUAUGAGUAAUAUAAGAAGAGAAGGACAAUCUUUUUGCAACCAGGGCUAAGCACAAAAACAACAUGGCUUCACUUGCCUGAUAACAGAGAUCCAAAUGACACCCAGCUUAAAAUCAUCUCCAUCUCCAGUAUGGGCCUCUUAAGCAUACCUGCUGAACUUGCUGUGGUAAUGUCUUGUUGGCUCUGUUGUCAUAGACCCCAUCUGAGAAUGAGGAGUCCCAUCUUUCUAUUACUAAAAUAAGAAUCCACUCUCUUCUUUCCAGAUCAGAUGACAAAAAGAGGCAAAAAGGAAGAUAAGAGCGAAUUGAGGGUAGAGGCUUGGGAUUGAUGGAGUGAAAACUACCUUUCUCUUUAGAUCCCCUUCAAUAAUUAUGUCUUCCAGUGCCUGCCCAAUUAAUGUCGCUUUCAUACAUGUCCAUGUCUUCAUGGUAAAAAAAUUUCAAAGUUUUUUACAGUUGGUAACCAACCCACAUGGGCCACUGAUUUUUGUUUUGGAAGAGAGAUUCCAAAUAAAGGAGCUAGGGAGAUUAAUGAUCCCUGUAUAUGUUCAAAGAUGUCUACAUGAAUGAGUGUAUUAUUUGUCAUCAUUUCAGUUACUAGAUAACUUCUUCACAUGCAUCAAAAUCUUUUCCUCCUACCUGAGGUGCUUAAUUCUUAAGUGAACGUUUCUCCAAGCAAUGCUAAAUAUAAACCAGCAUGAGGUCUAUCAGCAGCAAUAGAUAGGGUAAUAACUUCUGCUUGUGUUUUUCUAGUUUCCUCCAAUAUUACCCUCUUUCCGACGAAAACAAAUAAAACAUGGGUUUGCCUUGGCAAGGAGCCAGGUACAGGAUAUUCUUCGGUUCAGGGCUUCUCCACUGUAAAUAGUUUUUGGAGGUGCUCAAAGUUGCGGUACUUCGAAAAGAAAUGAGUUGUCUGCUGGUAUAUUAUUCAGAUUUUUAGCAGCAUCAAACCUUGCCAAGUAUCUGUUUGAGAUCAGCCAGUUGUGUUUCUGCAUACUUGUAGGGCCCCAUAGUUCUUCAAAGUUGUAUUGCCAUUGUAAACAAGAGAGGAAAUUCGAUAUAAACGACAACUUGAUCAUUGGUUUCCAUAGCUGGCAUUGAAAACCAGAGUUCCCAAUUGCAAAAUCUGGUCUCCAUUGCAAAAUAUCUUUUAUUGCAUUCUUCAUUUCUUAAUAGAGAUCAAUGAAUAAUUUUCAGUUGUUUAAAUAUUUUAAUUAUAAAAUCUGGUUCUUCUAUAUUGCAGUUUCAAUGUUUGAGUUUCUUGAAGGAGAUUUGGCCUUACCUCAUGUCAAAGUCCUAUGCUGCAAUAGUUGGAGGAGCUGCAGGGGUGGUACUUGUUGCACUUUCCCUUGUAUUGUGGUUCUGCAAAUCACAUUGUAAGAAAUUUUCAAACAAGAACUCAGAGACAGGUUCUUCAGAUCCACAUGCAUCUGCGCUAGGUAAUGUUUCUCCAGGGACAGAACAUGGAGAAACUUUGUGCUCUUGUGGUGACAUUCACUAAUUCUGUUUCUAACUUAUGACAGGGGAGUGGAAUAGGGGAGGUGGAUCAAGUUCAGCCCCUAGCCACCCUUUAUUUGGAUCACAAGGAGCUAGGCAGUUCACAAUGGAUGAGUUGGAGCAAGCUACCAAGGAAUUUAGUGAAAGUAAUCUAAUUGGAUAUGGUAGUUUUGGGUCAGUAUAUAAAGGUUUGCUUCAUGAUACUAUUGUAGCCAUCAAAAGGCGUCGGGGUGCUCCUCGAGAGGACUUUGUCGCAGAGGUAAAAAUAACUUUCAAAGUCUAGAUUUUAUUAAGUUGAUAUCUAUCACCUAUAAAAUGUGUAUAAUUCCUCUUAGGCAACAAAGAACAAAGUGCAUAAAAUUCUUUAUAGCACAUGAAGAGUGAUUUGACAAGACAUUAACUAUAUCAAGUGGCAAACAGGUACUCUAUCUGUCAGAAAUUCGACAUCGUAAUUUAGUUUCUCUUCUAGGUUACAGCCAAGAAAGAGGAUCACAAAUGUUGGUCUUUGAAUAUAUACCCAAUGGCAGUAUGUGCAAUCACUUGUAUGGUAUGAUUAUUUUAGCGAAGUCUGUUUUGCAUGAUCCUCGAAGAGAUACAUGUCACAGAAGUUCAUCCUUUUGACAGAUACAGGAUUGAAAACAUCAACUAAACUAGAGUUCAAGCAGAGGUUGUCCAUAGCUCAGGGAGCAGCUAAAGGUAAAUCCAAAAUAAUCUAAUAAGGAAAUUCUAGGAUUUAAUGACAAUCACAAAAUAGAUUUAAAGUAGGUGUUUCUAAAAAGUGCAGGUUUAUGCCAUUUGCAUGGCCUAAACCCUCCCUUGCUACACAAGAACUUCAAAACAGCUAAUGUCUUAGUUGAUGAGAACUUCAUUGUAAAGGUUGCAGAAGCAGGGAUCUCAAAACUGCUUGAAACUAUAGAAGAAGCAGGUCCAUCUCACGCAUCUGGUGUAAAUGUUUUCCAAGAUCCAGAGUAAAUUUCUUUUUAUUGCAUUUUGCUUUUGAUGUGGAAAUAUGGCUUUCCCGUUUUAAAAUAUCUCCACUGUUUAG
rnacentral:misc_RNA from 1 species